UACGUAGGGUCCAAGCGUUAUCCGGAAUCACUGGGCGUAAAGCGUGCGUAGGUGGCGUGUUAAGUGUGAUGUUAAAUCGUGUGGCUCAACCAUAUCGAUGUGUCGCAUACUGGCAUGCUAGAGGACAGCAGAGGCAAGUGGAAUUAGUAGUGUAGCAGUGAAAUGCGUAGAUAUUACUAGGAACACCAAUGGCGAAGGCAGCUUGCUGGGCUACUCCUGACACUGAGGUGACGAAAGCGUGGGGAGCGAACAGG
rnacentral:rRNA from 1 species